rnacentral:misc_RNA from 1 species
UAUGCAACUGACAAAAACAGUAAUUUGUUUUGUAACUUUUGCUUUGAGGAAGCAGCCAUGUGCAAAUGUAGACCAAUUUUAGCACAGGAAACAAAAGAGCAAAUCCCCUCUAAUCUGAUUGAACGCAUGAAUCCUGAGUAUAUGAGGCCUACACAUUACACAAACUGAACCAAGUGAAAAAGUUCGCAUGCUUACACGUGACUACACCUCCUCAAACUAUUCUCACAUAUCAUUCCCUCAUGACAAUAUCAAUAACGUGGCAAGUUCUCAUUGGUUGGUUAGCUGAAGGUGCGGUGGCUGGCUUCCACAGGAAAUGCAAAGAGGCUAGUCACCUAUACUUUACCAACCAAUGAAGCUUGGAUGGCACUUCACCCAUUGAUUAUUAGUGACUUUGAUGCUAAAAGUACAUAACCCAAUGAGGUCAACAAGUCAUCAUCUCUAAUGAAACAACGAAAGCCAAAGCAAGAAAAGCUAAAGACCCACAAAAUAAUGAAGUAGUAGAAGAUAAGGCGAGAGAAAGGGAGACAUCAACUUCCCAUCUCCUCUGCUUUGCUUUGCUUACCUUCUCAUCUAAGCCCCCCAAACCCUUCCUUUUCCUAUUACCUCUUGGCUCUUCCCUUCCCAUCUCUCCCUCUCUGCACCUGAAAAUCUAGUGUAAAUACUGAGGCAAGUGGCUACCAAGAUUCAACAUGGGUUCUGUUGGGAACCAGAAUCCUUGGGCACCCUAUGAUGUCUAUAAAGAUUGUUCCCAACAAAUUUGCAGCAUAUAUUGUCCACAAUGGUGCUACAUGAUUUUCCCUCCUCCUCCUCCCUUUACCAUUGGAGAUGAUGAUUCUGGAACUGAUUUCUCCCCUCUCAUUAUAGCAGUGAUUGGCAUCUUGGCCAGUGCUUUCAUCCUGGUAACUUACUAUACCAUCAUUUCCAAGUAUUGCAGGCGAGGAGGCCAUGAUGAUAAUAGGUCGGAAUUGGGUGAAAAUCACGACCAAAUCACUAAUGAAGCCUGGCAGGGUUCUGCAGCUGGAUUGGAUGAGGCUCUUAUCAAGUCAAUUACCGUAUGCAAAUACAAGAAAGGUGAUGGGUUCGUUGAAAGCUCAGAUUGCUCUGUUUGUUUAAGUGAAUUUCGAGAAAAUGAGAGCUUAAGGUUAUUGCCUAAGUGUAACCACGCAUUUCAUCUCCCUUGUAUUGAUACUUGGCUUAAGUCUCAUGCUAGUUGUCCUCUCUGCCGUGCCAAUAUUGCACACACCAACAUCCUGCCUACCCAACCACCACCACCGCCAAUUCAAGAAACUCCCCUCAGCACUGCCGUGUCUGCCCUUGAAUACCAGCACAGGAUUAAUGAUGAUGUUCUAGUGAUUCAAGAUCUACAAGGAGGUGUUCGUGAAGAAGCUGUGGUUAGUCUUGUAGUUGGUGAUAUACUACCAAAGCCAACAUUUCAAGAUCUUGGAUUAAACACUCAGAAUAUGAGACAAGAAACAGAAAACGUUACCGAAAUUAGAGAGGAAGCCAUCCAACCAAUUAGAGGGUCGGCUUCUUUGAAUUCUUCCCUCUGCCAUAAUGAAGUUUCGAUUGCUGAUAACCUGCGCAUAAGCGAGGAUGAAGAUGGUGAUGAUUACAGAAGGAGAGAUAUAGACAAGAAUAAAAUUGGGAUCUUGAAUUUGGUUAGAAGUCCUCUUGCAAUUAGGAGAUCAACUUCAACAGGAAGAUUCAUGUUCACAAGGUAUGAAAAAGGCAGGAGUUCUAUGAUUCCUAAUUCAUUAGCAUAGUUAUUAUUAUUAUUAUUUUUGUUUCAAUGGGGUCCCAUUGAAAAUGGAAAUCGAGAGCUCAACCGUACUGAAAUAGCUCCAGUUUGUUCUUUCUUGUAUAAAACAAUUAUUUCCUCUUUCUUGUGUAACAUAGAAAGCACACCGUUAUAGAGAACUUGCAUAUGCAAUUUGACAAUGGAGAAUAUGAUUCCUGAACUUUGUUCCUCACCUUUAGAUUUUGAUCAAUGGGGUCUACUCUACAUUCAAGAAAUGGAAAACUUUUUAUUACCUGAAACUUUAGUCUUCUCAAUAUAGCCACUCAAGGCUCAUUGAUU